UACGUAGGUGGCAAGCGUUAUCCGGAUUUACUGGGUGUAAAGGGCGUGUAGGCGGGACUGCAAGUCAGAUGUGAAAACCACGGGCUCAACCUGUGGCCUGCAUUUGAAACUGUAGUUCUUGAGUACUGGAGAGGCAGACGGAAUUCCUAGUGUAGCGGUGAAAUGCGUAGAUAUCAGGAGGAACAUCGGUGGCGAAAGCGCUUUACUGGACCAUUAUUGACGCUGAGGAACGAAAGCCAGGGGAGCAAAUGGG
rnacentral:rRNA from 1 species